rnacentral:rRNA from 1 species
GACGAACGCUGGCGGCGUGCCUAAUACAUGCAAGUCGAACGCAGUGGGGACGGGUGAGUAACACGUGGGUAACCUCCCAUCAGAGGGGAUAACCCUUGGAAACAGGUGCUAAACCGAUACUGAUGGAUGGACCCGCGGUGCAUUAGCUAGUUGGUGAGGUAACGGCGCACCAAGGCCACGAUGCAUAGCCUACCUGGUAGGUGGUGCUGCCACACGGGGACUUGUGCCCCGCCCAGACUCCUACGGGAGGCAGCAGUAGGGAAUCUUCGGCAAUGGACGGAAGUCUGACCGAGCAACGCCGCGUGAGUGAAGAAGGUUUUCGGAUCGUAAAGCUCGGUUGUUAGGGAAGCGGUAACUAACCAGAAAGGGACGGCUAACUACGUGCCAGCAGCCGCGGUAAUUC